CCUACGGGAGGCAGCAGUGAGGAAUAUUGGUCAAUGGGCGAGAGCCUGAACCAGCCAAGUCGCGUGAAGGAUGACGGCCCUACGGGUUGUAAACUUCUUUUGUCAGGGAGCAAUUGGGUCCACGCGUGGGCUUAGCGAGAGUACCUGAAGAAAAAGCAUCGGCUAACUCCGUGCCAGCGGCCGCGGUAAUACGGAGGAUGCGAGCGUUAUCCGGAUUUAUUGGGUUUAAAGGGUGCGUAGGCGGAAUAUCAAGUCAGCGGUAAAAUUUCGGGGCUCAACCCCGUCGUGCCGUUGAAACUGAUGUUCUUGAGUGGGCGAGAAGUAUGCGGAAUGCGUGGUGUAGCGGUGAAAUGCAUAGAUAUCACGCAGAACUCCGAUUGCGAAGGCAGCAUACCGGCGCCCAACUGACGCUGAAGCACGAAAGCGUGGGUAUCGAACAGGAUUAGAUACCCUUGUAGUC
rnacentral:rRNA from 1 species